GAUGAACGCUGGCGGCGUGCCUAAUACAUGCAAGUCGAGCGAACAGACGAGGAGCUUGCUCCUUUGACGUUAGCGGCGGACGGGUGAGUAACACGUGGAUAACCUACCUAUAAGACUGGGAUAACUUCGGGAAACCGGAGCUAAUACCGGAUAACAUGUUGAACCGCAUGGUUCAACAGUGAAAGACGGUCUUGCUGUCACUUAUAGAUGGGUCCGCGCCGCAUUAGCUAGUUGGUAAGGUAACGGCUUACCAAGGCAACGAUGCGUAGCCGACCUGAGAGGGUGAUCGGCCACACUGGAACUGAGACACGGUCCAGACUCCUACGGGAGGCAGCAGUAGGGAAUCUUCCGCAAUGGGCGAAAGCCUGACGGAGCAACGCCGCGUGAGUGAAGAAGGUCUUCGGAUCGUAAAACUCUGUUAUUAGGGAAGAACAAAUGUGUAAGUAACUAUGCACGUCUUGACGGUACCUAAUCAGAAAGCCACGGCUAACUACGUG
rnacentral:rRNA from 1 species